rnacentral:rRNA from 1 species
GUCGAGGAUCUUUGGCAAUGAGCGCAAGCUUGACCAAGCGACGCCGCGUGUGCGAUGAAGGCCUUCGGGUUGUAAAGCACUGUCGAGGGGGAGGAAGCCGCAAGGUUGACCUAUCCCUGGAGGAAGCACGGGCUAAGUUCGUGCCAGCAGCCGCGGUAAGACGAACCGUGCGAACGUUGUUCGGAAUCACUGGGCUUAAAGGGCGCGUAGGCGGGUUCACAAGUCUGUGGUGAAAUCCUCCAGCUUAACUGGAGAAGUGCCAUGGAUACUGUGGGUCUUGAGGAGGGUAGGGGCAUCUGGAACUGCCGGUGGAGCGGUGAAAUGCGUUGAUAUCGGCAGGAACUCCGGUGGCGAAGGCGAGAUGCUGGAUCCUUUCUGACGCUGAGGCGCGAAAGCCAGGGGAGCAAACGGGAUUAGAAACCCCUGUAGUCC